UACGAAGGUCCCGAGCGUUAUCCGGAUUUAUUGGGUUUAAAGGGUGCGUAGGCGGGUUAUUACGUCUGUGGUGAAAGCCUUCAGCUUAACUGAAGAAUUGCCAUUGAUACUGAUGAUCUUGAGUACGAUUGAGGUAGGCGGAAUGUGUCAUGUAGCGGUGAAAUGCUUAGAUAUGACACAGAACACCGAUUGCGAAGGCAGCUUACUAAGUCGUAACUGACGCUGAUGCACGAAAGCGUGGGGAGCAAACAGG
rnacentral:rRNA from 1 species